UACGUAGGGACCAAGCGUUGUCCGGAAUCAUUGGGCGUAAAGCGCGCGUAGGUGGCUUCGUAAGUCCGUUGUGAAAGUCAAAGGCUCAACCUUUGAAAGCCGAUGGAUACUGCGAAGCUAGAGUACGGAAGAGGCGAGUGGAAUUCCUGGUGUAGCGGUGGAAUGCGCAGAUAUCAGGAGGAACACCAAUAGCGAAGGCAGCUCGCUGGGACGUUACUGACACUGAGGCGCGAAAGCGUGGGGAGCGGACAGG
rnacentral:rRNA from 1 species